GCGCCUUCUAGCCAUGCUGGAGGCGCGGCACACAGCUCAGUAGCACGUGGCUAACCUGCCCUUGAGACGGGAGCAACCCCGGGAAACUGGGGACAAUUCCCGAUAGGUGAAGAUCCCUGGAAUGGGUUUUCGCCCAAAGGACGUUUAGGUCAUGCUUCUAGGCGUUGCUCAAGGAUGGGGCCGCGGCCGAUCAGGUUGUUGGUGAGGUAACGGCUCACCAAGCCUUUGACCGGUUCGGGCCGUGAGAGCGGUAGCCCGGAGAUGGGCACUGAGACAAGGGCCCAGGCCCUACGGGGCGCAGCAGUCGCGAAAACUUCGCAAUAAGCGAAAGCUUGACGGGGCCAUCCCGAGUGCCAUCUGCUGAAGAUGGCUUUUACCCAGUAUAGAUAGCUGGGGGAAUAAGGAGAGGGCAAGUCUGGUGUCAGCCGCCGCGGUGAUACCAGCCCCCUGAGUGAUAGGGACGAUUAUUUAGCCUAAAGCGUCCGUAGCCGGCUUAGAAAGUCUUUCGUUAAAUCUAACGGCUUAACCGUUAGGCCGCGGAAGAUACUUCUAGGCUAGAGGGCGGGAGAGGUUGACGGUAUUCCCGGGGUAGGGGUGAAAUCCUAUAAUCCCGGGAGGACCACCAGUGGCGAAGGCGGUCAACUAGAACGCGCCUGACGGUGAGGGACGAAAGCUGGGGGAGCGAACCGGAUUAGACACCCGGGUAGUCCCAGCUGUAAACGAUGCGGGCUAGGUGUUGGGGCAGCUACGAGCUGCUCCAGUGCCGCAGAGAAGUUGUUAAGCCCGCCGCUUGGGAAGUACGGCCGCAAGGCUGAAACUUAAAGGAAUUGGCGGGGGAGCACCACAAGGGGUGAAGCCUGCGGUUUAAUUGGAUUCAACGCCGGA
rnacentral:rRNA from 1 species